ACCUGUCGGCUCUGGUCAAGGACAUCAACGGCGAAGCGCUGUCCCCCGCCGGCCUCGCCAAAAUCGCCGCCGUCGAUCCGGCCUCCCUGCCGCUGGUUGACGGGAAUCCGCGCCUCGGCGCACCGGUCNNNNNNNNNNNCCAAAUUCGUCGCCAUCGGCCUGAACUAUGCCGAUCACGCGGCCGAAGCCGGCAUGGCAAUUCCGUCCGAGCCGAUCGUUUUCAUCAAGGCCAACACCAGCCUUUGCGGGCCGAACGACAAUAUCGAAAAACCGCGCGGAUCGACCAAGCUCGACUGGGAAGUCGAACUCGCGAUCAUCAUCGGCACCAAGGCAAAGUAUGUCACCGAAGCCGACGCCCUGAAGCACGUCGCGGGCUAUGCGGUCUGCAACGAU
rnacentral:misc_RNA from 1 species